GUGCUUAUAAGGUGCAUUGAGUAACAAAAAACAACUGUGAAAAGGCUACAUUCAUGAAGCAAUGAAGUACCUACAAUGAUAAACUACGAGACUAAAUCACCAGUAUCAAUAAAGUAAGUUACCUAAAAUAUUGUUUAUUUACUUAUUUACUUGAUAAGAUCUUUUCGCAAAGUAUCUGUAGACUUAAAUCGAUAUUUGACAUUCACAAAAACCUAUUUAAAUUAGUGUAACAAUGUUCAAUUCUUUCCGAGACGCAGUUAACCCAGUAAAAAAGAAGCGUACGAUCCUUCGUUAAGAUGGCCACCUAGUUAGUUAAGAACAUAAAAACGUGUUGAUGUAAACUCCUUAUAUCUUAAAAAGAUAGAAGCAGACGAGAUUUUUCGGAGUUUAUUAGCAACUCUGAUCGUCAUGAAGCGGAUCAGAUUCUUCUCGACGACAGCAAGUGUACUAACACGGACCUAUUGAGUGAUAGUUGAUGGGUAUAGUUUGAUGUCACAUUUAACAAAGACAUUUCCAGGUUUAUUGCUGUAAACGAUCCUAAUGUAUCAUACAGACACCGCAAGAA